rnacentral:rRNA from 1 species
AACGAACGCUGGCGGCGUGCUUAACACAUGCAAGUCUAACGGGAAUGUCGGCUUCGGCUGACUAGUACCGUGGCGAACGGGUGAGUAACACGUGGGUAAUCUGCCCUCGAGCUCGGGAUAACCUUGCGAAAGCGAGGCUAAUACCGGAUAAGACCACGCCCUGCCUGCAGGGUGCGGUAAAAGGUGGCCUCUUCUUGAAAGCUAUCACUUGAGGAUGAGCCCGCGGCCUAUUAGCUAGUUGGUGAGGUAAUGGCUCACCAAGGCGACGAUGGGUAGCCGGCCUGAGAGGGUGUACGGCCACACUGGCACUGAGACACGGGCCAGACUCCUACGGGAGGCAGCAGUGGGGAAUUUUGCGCAAUGGGGGAAACCCUGACGCAGCAACGCCGCGUGAGUGAUGAAGGCCUUCGGGUUGUAAAGCUCUUUUAGUGGGGAAGAAGCCCUCCCUGGCUAAUAUCCAGGGGGUCUGACGGUACCCACAGAAAAAGUUCCGGCUAACUACGUGCCAGCCGCCGCCGUAACAC